GACGAACGCUGGCGGCGUGCUUAACGCAUGCAAGUCGAACGGAAAGGCCCUGCUUUUGUGGGGUGCUCGAGUGGCGAACGGGUGAGUAACACGUGAGUAACCUGCCCUUGACUUUGGGAUAACUUCAGGAAACUGGGGCUAAUACCGGAUAGGAGCUCCUGCUGCAUGGUGGGGGUUGGAAAGUUUCGGCGGUUGGGGAUGGACUCGCGGCUUAUCAGCUUGUUGGUGGGGUAGUGGCUUACCAAGGCUUUGACGGGUAGCCGGCCUGAGAGGGUGACCGGCCACAUUGGGACUGAGAUACGGCCCAGACUCCUACGGGAGGCAGCAGUGGGGAAUAUUGCACAAUGGGCGGAAGCCUGAUGCAGCAACGCCGCGUGCGUGAUGACGGCCUUCGGGUUGUAAACCGCUUUCGCCUGUGACGAAGCGUGAGUGACGGUAAUGGGUAAAGAAGCACCGGCUAACUACGUG
rnacentral:rRNA from 1 species